UAAAUGCGGUCUAAUGCACAUCUUGUCUACAUUUAAGAGCAUUAUCAUGCUUAUAAUGUGUACUAGUUGCGCUUUGGCCACGCACUCCAAAAAUAGGAGAAAAAUGAAAGACGCUAGUUCACUAUUUCGAUUUUCAACUGCUACUCGACAUCGAAGUAUUCAGAUAUAUACUGAAACAAUAGUGGAAUUAAAGAUAAAACAGAUAACGGCGUAAUAAUCAGAUGAGAAAGUAAAUAGACGAUCUCAUUUGCACUUAGGACCAUUUGACAUGUUUGUCUAGAUAUGGUAGAAUGUGCCCUUUUUACUAUGGACUCUGGAGUAUCUACUAUGUGUUUACGUUUUCUUUUCGCUAUUUACAAACUGAAUCAAUACUUUCCCUUUAAAAAUGCACGCUUCCAGGUUGCUGAAAUACGAAGGGACUUCAAAAUGGUUUGGUGUGGUACAACUUGAACGGGCAUGUAAGAAACAAUCCUGGAGCAAGCGGCUGAAGCAUAAUAGAAAGACGUUGCCGUUAGAUCAUCCCGGAUUAAUACAAAAUCAGGUACAUCGAAACAAGCAAUGGAUAAAUAUCUUGAGCAGAUAGGCACGCAACAGUAGGAAGAUGCAUAGGACAACUCGUUUGAUUUGAUGAUGAUUGGUGGAAAAAGCUAAGCUGGCGUUGGUACAAUUCGUUGAUUAUUUCUACUAUCACUUGAUAUAUCUAUCCGCAUCACAAGUAAGAAUUGGAUGUUAACGCUAUGAAUAAAGCCUCUCGAACGUUCGUUUCUACGUCACAACAAGCCGUGCUUCGAUUGAAAUCCUGUUGGUCUAUUUCAUGUCUACUCAAAUUAUUGGCUGGAAAUCGUACCCAGCGACUUGGAAUGCGCAGUACAUAUUUACACGUGAUGAUGUGACGAGCUAAAUUUAUAAAUAAAUAGAAAACAAACUACAGAUUUUUUUCGAAAACCAGUGAAGUACAUGCAAUAAUGAUAGAUCUUAAAAACAAGUACAAAAUUUAAUUUACGAACUUAUACUAUUUUUUCGAUUAUGACGAUAACGACUAAAAGUUGCUAGUUAUUAAUCUAUUUUAAACAUUCAUUUAAAUUGUCUCGGGUACUGAAGAUUGUGUUCUACUGAUUUUAAUAAGAAUAUAUAAUUAAGAGGAAGAAAUAAUUUUGGAUUAAAAGCGAUAAGGAGUACAAAGUAAACAUAUAAUCUAUUCAAAACAUAUCACAUUUUUCCUUUUAUAUAUUUCAUAGGUAAAUUUUAUCUAAAAAUCUUUUAAAAAAAUUGGUAUCGCGAAUUAUAGACAUUGCCAAAUACUAAAGCAAUAAUUAUUUUCCUGGCAGGUAAAUGUUAUGUGAACUUCCAUUGAUCACUAGACUGUUCAUAAAAUAACUUCUAACGAAUUACCCUAUAAAUAUCAAGUCCACAGCAUAUAACAUCUAACAGACUUGACACUAACUACCAUCUUAUUAGCAGGUGAUUGUAAUCUGAAAAUCCUUUGAAUGUUAUUUGAGAAAACACAUAAAUUAUGCUGGAUUAUGUAUUAGAUGCAGAUUAUAUGACAGCCAUAUAAAAACUACGUGAAAUGUAGAGUGGAAAAUAAUCACAUAAUCAAUGAAGAAGUAGAUGAUGACGCUGAGAUGGGAAACCCUCAAACCUUGGACGAAAAGGACUUCGAAAAAGUACUUCCGUCGAGUGUCAUAAUCGGUCGACGUUCGUUGUUCCAAUACUACAAGGAGCGCCUUAAUCCAAGCCCAGUGGUGAAGAAGUGUACUCACUGGCCGAAUAUCAUGUCCAGCCAACAGCAAUGACUCGGAUUAGCUGGGACAAGUAUAUAUUUGUUUAGUUCGGCAAGUGAUGCAUGAUUUGCAAAAAUAGGUCGUUAACGAUACUGUUUUCCCUCAACUCGCCUGUGCUAAAUAAUCCUGGAAAUGAUUUGUCGUCGAAAUUUCUUCUCUUCUAUUGCCUUCAA